UUAAGUUCAGCGGGUCCUCCUACCUGAUCCGAGGUCAACCUAGUGCUAAAGACGCAAAGGUCGCUUUACGGCCAGCACCCGCAGCACUCCCAAAGCGAGGUUGUAAGCUACUACGCUCGGUGUGUCUUGCGAGCCCGCCACUGCAUUCAGGCCUGCGGCAGCCGCAGGUCCCCAACACAAGCCCAGGGCUUGAUGGUUGA
rnacentral:misc_RNA from 1 species